rnacentral:rRNA from 1 species
CUACGGGACGCUGCAGUCGAGAAUAGUCUACAAUGGACGAAAGUCUGAUAGUGCGACGCCGCGUGGAUGAAGAAGCAUUUCGGUGUGUAAAGUCCUUUUCUGUGUGAGCAAUGUUUUCCAGGUUAAUAGCUUGGAGAAAGCGAUAUUAACACAGGAAUAAGCUCCGGCUAACUCCGUGCCAGCAGCCGCGGUAACACGGGGGGAGCAAGCGUUGUCCGGAAUUACUAGGCGUAAAGGGUAAGUAGGCGGAAUUGUAAGUCAGAUGUUAAAGGCACCGGCUCAACCGGUGUAUGGCAUUUGAUACUGUAAUUCUAGAGUAAGGUGGGGGAAGACGGAAUUCCUGGUGUAGAGGUGGAAUGCGCAGAUAUCAGGAGGAACACCAGAGGCGCAGGCGGUCUUCUAUACCAUUACUGACGCUCAAUUACGAAGGUGUGGGUAUCAAACAGGAUUAGAUACCCUCGUAGUC